rnacentral:rRNA from 1 species
GGUCAAGUGAAGAAGCGCAUACGGUGGAUGCCUUGGCAGUCAGAGGCGAUGAAAGACGUGGUAGCCUGCGAAAAGCUUCGGGGAGUCGGCAAACAGACUGUGAUCCGGAGAUGUCUGAAUGGGGGAACCCAGCCAUCAUAAGAUGGUUAUCUUGUACUGAAUACAUAGGUGCAAGAGGCGAACCAGGGGAACUGAAACAUCUAAGUACCCUGAGGAAAAGAAAUCAACCGAGAUUCCCUUAGUAGUGGCGAGCGAACGGGGACCAGCCCUUAAGUUGUAUUGAGAUUAGCGGAACGUUCUGGAAAGGACGGCCAUAGUGGGUGAUAGCCCUGUACGCGAAAAUCCCUUUGCAAUGAAAUCGAGUAGGACGGGGCACGAGAAACCUUGUCUGAAUAUGGGGGGACCAUCCUCCAAGGCUAAAUACUACUGACUGACCGAUAGUGAACCAGUACCGUGAGGGAAAGGCGAAAAGAACCGCGGAGAGCGGAGUGAAAUAGAUCCUGAAACCGUAUGCGUACAAGCAGUGGGAGCCCACUUUGUUGGGUGACUGCGUACCUUUUGUAUAAUGGGUCAGCGACUUAUUUUCAGUGGCGAGCUUAACCGAAUAGGGGAGGCGUAGCGAAAGCGAGUCUUAAUAGGGCGUCUAGUCGCUGGGAAUAGACCCGAAACCGGGCGAUCUAUCCAUGGGCAGGUUGAAGGUUGGGUAACACUAACUGGAGGACCGAACCGACUACCGUUGAAAAGUUAGCGGAUGACCUGUGGAUCGGAGUGAAAGGCUAAUCAAGCUCGGAGAUAGCUGGUUCUCCUCGAAAGCUAUUUAGGUAGCGCCUCAUGUAUCACUGUAGGGGGUAGAGCACUGUUUCGGCUAGGGGGUCAUCCCGACUUACCAAACCGAUGCAAACUCCGAAUACCUACAAGUGCCGAGCAUGGGAGACACACGGCGGGUGCUAACGUCCGUCGUGAAAAGGGAAACAACCCAGACCGUCAGCUAAGGUCCCAAAGUCAUGGUUAAGUGGGAAACGAUGUGGGAAGGCUUAGACAGCUAGGAGGUUGGCUUAGAAGCAGCCACCCUUUAAAGAAAGCGUAAUAGCUCACUAGUCGAGUCGGCCUGCGCGGAAGAUGUAACGGGGCUCAAACCAUGCACCGAAGCUACGGGUAUCAUCUUAUGAUGAUGCGGUAGAGGAGCGUUCUGUAAGCCUGUGAAGGUGAGUUGAGAAGCUUGCUGGAGGUAUCAGAAGUGCGAAUGCUGACAUGAGUAACGACAAUGGGUGUGAAAAACACCCACGCCGAAAGACCAAGGUUUCCUGCGCAACGUUAAUCGACGCAGGGUUAGUCGGUCCCUAAGGCGAGGCUGAAAAGCGUAGUCGAUGGAAAACAGGUUAAUAUUCCUGUACUUCUGGUUAUUGCGAUGGAGGGACGGAGAAGGCUAGGCCAGCCUGGCGUUGGUUGUCCAGGUUUAAGGUGGUAGGCUGAGAUCUUAGGUAAAUCCGGGAUCUUAAGGCCGAGAGCUGAUGACGAGUGUUCUUUAGAACACGAAGUGGUUGAUGCCAUGCUUCCAAGAAAAGCUUCUAAGCUUCAGGUAACCAGGAACCGUACCCCAAACCGACACAGGUGGUUGGGUAGAGAAUACCAAGGCGCUUGAGAGAACUCGGGUGAAGGAACUAGGCAAAAUGGCACCGUAACUUCGGGAGAAGGUGCGCCGGUGAGGGUGAAGCAUUUACUGCGUAAGCCCACGCCGGUCGAAGAUACCAGGCCGCUGCGACUGUUUAUUAAAAACACAGCACUCUGCAAACACGAAAGUGGACGUAUAGGGUGUGACGCCUGCCCGGUGCCGGAAGGUUAAUUGAUGGGGUUAGCGCAAGCGAAGCUCUUGAUCGAAGCCCCGGUAAACGGCGGCCGUAACUAUAACGGUCCUAAGGUAGCGAAAUUCCUUGUCGGGUAAGUUCCGACCUGCACGAAUGGCGUAACGAUGGCGGCGCUGUCUCCACCCGAGACUCAGUGAAAUUGAAAUCGCUGUGAAGAUGCAGUGUAUCCGCGGCUAGACGGAAAGACCCCGUGAACCUUUACUAUAGCUUUGCACUGGACUUUGAAUUUGCUUGUGUAGGAUAGGUGGGAGGCUUUGAAGCGUGGACGCCAGUCUGCGUGGAGCCAACCUUGAAAUACCACCCUGGCAACUUUGAGGUUCUAACUCAGGUCCGUUAUCCGGAUCGAGGACAGUGUAUGGUGGGUAGUUUGACUGGGGCGGUCUCCUCCUAAAGAGUAACGGAGGAGUACGAAGGUGCGCUCAGACCGGUCGGAAAUCGGUCGUAGAGUAUAAAGGCAAAAGCGCGCUUGACUGCGAGACAGACACGUCGAGCAGGUACGAAAGUAGGUCUUAGUGAUCCGGUGGUUCUGUAUGGAAGGGCCAUCGCUCAACGGAUAAAAGGUACUCCGGGGAUAACAGGCUGAUACCGCCCAAGAGUUCAUAUCGACGGCGGUGUUUGGCACCUCGAUGUCGGCUCAUCACAUCCUGGGGCUGAAGCCGGUCCCAAGGGUAUGGCUGUUCGCCAUUUAAAGUGGUACGCGAGCUGGGUUUAGAACGUCGUGAGACAGUUCGGUCCCUAUCUGCCGUGGACGUUUGAGAUUUGAGAGGGGCUGCUCCUAGUACGAGAGGACCGGAGUGGACGAACCUCUGGUGUUCCGGUUGUCACGCCAGUGGCAUUGCCGGGUAGCUAUGUUCGGAAAAGAUAACCGCUGAAAGCAUCUAAGCGGGAAACUUGCCUCAAGAUGAGAUCUCACUGGAACCUUGAGUUCCCUAAAGGGCCGUCGAAGACUACGACGUUGAUAGGUUGGGUGUGUAAGCGCUGUGAGGCGUUGAGCUAACCAAUACUAAUUGCCCGUGAGGCUUGACCAU